GGGCCCGCACAAGCGGUGGAGUAUGUGGUUUAAUUCGAUGCAACGCGAAGAACCUUACCAGGGUUUGACAUCCUGCGAAUCUCUUGGAAACGAGAGAGUGCCUUCGGGAACGCAGUGACAGGUGGUGCAUGGCUGUCGUCAGCUCGUGUCGUGAGAUGUUGGGUUAAGUCCCGCAACGAGCGCAACCCACGUCUUUAGUUGCCAGCAUUUAGUUGGGCACUCUAGAGAGACUGCCGGUGAUAAGCCGGAGGAAGGUGGGGAUGACGUCAAGUCCUCAUGGCCUUUAUGUCCAGGGCUACACACGUGUUACAAUGGGGGUGACAAAGAGUUGCCAAGCUGCGAAGCUGCGCA
rnacentral:rRNA from 1 species